rnacentral:lncRNA from 1 species
GGGUGUGGUUUCUAAUCGCUGCUCUCCACCAGGAGGAAUAAGAAAAGCAAGAAAGACUGUUUAACAUGAUAAAGGAGGUGGGCUGAGAGCAGCAGAUACAAGGCAAUGGGAAUUUACUUUAAUUACUGGAAGCAUAUCCGUUUUUUGUCCUUUAAUCUAAAAGAGAGCCCCCCUUUAGCAGGGAUUCCAAACUACUUCCAGAAAAAGGGAGUGGGUCUACAUUUACUGAAAUUUGUAGCACACGUUUUUUUAAUUCUGGGGGUGGGGGGGCACUGCUUAUUAAGAACCACCCCCUCCUUCUGUCAGAAAGCUUACCUUCCCACCAGUUCAGUCAACCAAUCCCAGCCCUUGGGCUCUAUGGCAAAUGUUUAUGUCCGGUCUAUAAGGCCACCUCUAACUUAUUCAAGACAAGCGGGCCAGCUGGCUCUAAGAGGGAUGAGAAUGACCGCAGCGAGCUGCCCACGGCUUGCUGAGCAAGGGUAAGGAGGCACACGAAAUUCCUGGCUCCCUAACCGUGUCAUCUGGGGGAUGGUCCUAACCACAUCAUAUUCUACUCCCGGAGAGGACUUGAGGAGGCUAGACACAGAAGGAGCAGAUGGCCUCUGGCCUCUGAGUGUCCUGGACAUUUUAAGCACUCUAAGAAGAAACCACCUAAAAAAGAAGGCUCUCCCUACACCUUCCCAGUCACAGCAGCCCUUCACUGUUCACAUUAAUAAAACAAAAGCAAAAAAACAAAAA